AUUGCUUACAUUUUGAGAGUAGAUGAUGUAUAGGGUGAGGUUUUGGAGAGGUUAUGAUGUAUUUACAUUUUGGAAAAAGAAUGCAAGUUGUAUUAAAUGAUUAAAGUUUAAAUGAUGUUGAAAGAGGUUUAACAUUUCAAUUAUGUCUCAAUUAGCUAAGUUUCUCUCUUUUGUAUACUUGUAUGGUUUUACUUGUAUCGCUUGCUCUAGUUGGUUGUAGCACUGUUUGUGCUCUCGUUUCGUUGUUGAUUGUGUAUGAGUGCAAGUUGUUUUUUCUGGAGACUUGUUGUACACAAUCUGUUGCUUAGCCUUGGGCGGACAGGGGAAACUCCGUCCGU
rnacentral:lncRNA from 1 species